rnacentral:rRNA from 1 species
GACGGAGGAUGCAAGCGUUAUCCGGAAUGAUUGGGCGUAAAGCGUCCGCAGGUGGCAGUUCAAGUCUGCUGUCAAAGACCGGGGCUUAACUUCGGAAAGGCAGUGGAAACUGAACAGCUAGAGUAUGGUAGGGGCAGAGGGAAUUCCUGGUGUAGCGGUGGAAUGCGCAGAUAUCAGGAAGAACACCCGUGGCGAAGGCGGCUCUCUGGAACGCAACUGACGCUGAGACGCGAAAGCGUGGGGAGCAAACAGG